GACGAACCGUGCGAACGUUGUUCGGAUUCACUGGGCUUAAAGGGUGCGUAGGCGGCGCGGUAAGUCGGGUGUGAAAUCUCGGAGCUUAACUCCGAAACUGCAUUCGAUACUGCCGUGCUUGAGGACUGGAGAGGAGACUGGAAUUUACGGUGUAGCGGUGAAAUGCGUAGAUAUCGUAAGGAAGACCAGUGGCGAAGGCGGGUCUCUGGACAGUUCCUGACGCUGAGGCACGAAGGUCAGGGGAGCAAACGGG
rnacentral:rRNA from 1 species